GCACACUGAACAUGCUGAACACGCUACCUAUAUAAAUCCAAGCAGGAAGCAUGUUUUAAUAGUGUGAUUGGACCAUCUGAACAUGCUACCUAUACGACAGAGCCAUUAACCACGUAAGAUGGUAUCAGAAGUUGCUCCUCCACCAUGAAAAAAACCAUCUGCAUAUAUUCUUUCACUACAUCCACGAUUCUCCUCUGUGGUCUUCCUCAUUCAUCCUGUUUGGAGCUUAAUGUUCAACAUCCUUUAUCUAUUAAAAUUACAGAAGGAGAAGAAAGUAAUCAUCAGAGCAGGAAUCAUGAUAAAUGAUAAAUAGAUUACCAGUACAUACAAACAUAACACUUGCAUAAUUUCUCUGAUAACGCUGCAUUGGAUGGGUUUAUUAACUGUGGGCUGAAAUUGUACUACAGUCUGCUGGUGAGGAACUUUUUUGAGUGUUGAAUAAAAUGUCCUCCACAAUCUGUA